rnacentral:rRNA from 1 species
GGUGAACGCUGGCGGCGCGCUUAAGACAUGCAAGUCGAACGGCAGUCUUCGGACUGUAGUGGCGCACGGGUGAGUAACGCGUAACUGACCUACCCCAAAGUCGCGGAUAACGAUUCGAAAGAAUCGCUAAUACGUGAUGUGCUGUCAGAUUGUGUUCUGCCAGUAAAGAUUGAUUGCUCUGGGAUGGGGUUGCGGUCCAUCAGCUAGUUGGUGGGGUAAAGGCCCACCAAGGCGACGACGGAUAGCCGGCCUGAGAGGGUGGCCGGCCACAGGGGCACUGAGACACGGGUCCCACUCCUACGGGAGGCAGCAGUUAGGAAUCUUCCACAAUGGGCGAAAGCCUGAUGGAGCGACGCCGCGUGAGGGAUGAAGGUCUUCGGAUCGUAAACCUCUGAAUCAGGGACGAAAGACACUUCGGUGGGAUGACGGUACCUGAGUAAUAGCACCGGCUAACUCCGUGCCAGCCGCCGCCGUAACAC